AGUGAACGCUGGCGGUAGGCCUAACACAUGCAAGUCGAACGGCAGCACAGUAAGAGCUUGCUCUUACGGGUGGCGAGUGGCGGACGGGUGAGGAAUACAUCGGAAUCUACUUUUUCGUGGGGGAUAACGUAGGGAAACUUACGCUAAUACCGCAUACGACCUACGGGUGAAAGCAGGGGAUCUUCGGACCUUGCGCGAUUGAAUGAGCCGAUGUCGGAUUAGCUAGUUGGCGGGGUAAAGGCCCACCAAGGCGACGAUCCGUAGCUGGUCUGAGAGGAUGAUCAGCCACACUGGAACUGAGACACGGCCCAGACUCCUACGGGAGGCAGCAGUGGGGAAUAUUGGACAAUGGGCGGAAGCCUGAUCCAGCCAUGCCGCGUGGGUGAAGAAGGCCUUCGGGUUGUAAAGCCCUUUUGUUGGGAAAGAAAAGCAGCAGGUUAAUACCCCGCUGUUCUGACGGUACCCAAAGAAUAAGCACCGGCUAACUUCGU
rnacentral:rRNA from 1 species